CGGAUAAUUGCAUGUCAUGGUUUUGAAGUUGGUAACAAGCAAACGGUCAUACGGUACUGCGGCUGAGUGAAACUGAACGCUAAAAGUGGCGGGAGCAGGGCGGUUGUCCGUUCUUUGUAUUUAUGGCUUCCAUGAUGGCGGCGUGCGUCCGUGCGUAUUGCCGAAGUUUGAUGUACAAGUGAGAGACAUGGACGGCAGUAUAGUUUCAGGGUUUGUUAUGAAGACGUUUGACAAGUUGCUAAGUUGAGAAGUUGUUUGAGAACUCGCUACCAAUGGCUGAGUCCAGAACAACACUGGGAUCAGUCAAUGAAGGAUUUGCCAAGUUACAGCAGCCUCCUAUCUAUCACAAGCUUUUGGCCUGAACGCAGACAUGGUAAGCUGUAGUACUCUUUCUCUAUUUUCAGGUAAACCAGGGCCAGUGCAUUCAUUGCGUGGGAAUCAGCUUGUACAGAUGAAUAGCGUAAGCUAGCUUCCAGUACGACAAAAAGGAUGAUGUGCCAGGGGUAACUGACUGUCCUCUGUCCUAUGCACUUUAAGAUUGCUCUCAGCAGAAGAUUACUCACUUCCAUCUUCUCAGUUCAGAGGAACAAGUCAGCGUCAUUUGCAAGGUGCCCCGCUUUUUCAUUUCUAUCCCAAGCAGAGCACCCAGUGAUGCAAUUCUUAACAUUUUUCCUAUCUAUAUAGGUAACCACAACAGUUCUUUCACAGCGGCCUGUCCUGCAGCAUCCCAAUGAACAACUACUGUACGACCCGUAUGGGAUUUUUUUUCAUGAGCAGAUCACCAAUGCCAAGGUUACCUCACGAAGAUUCGGGUGCCUCAAGCGUCGCUACCUUCUUGGGAGGGAAAUAACAUAGACAACUAUGUCCUGAUUGUACCAUGCAUCGCGAACUCAGGAACGUCACAAAUCAGGGGCAGCAGAUGGAAGCAACAAAGAGGACAUUUAAACUGUGUGUACUCAGACACAUAGCUUUGUUUCGGUUACUUAGUUGAAAACUGCACCGCUCGCUUAUGAGACAAGCAUAUGUUGCCUUGCGCGUUAGAAAAAUCUAUUAAAAUUGCCUUUGUAGUAAGCUGUGUAUUUUUAUAGGGACACGCUAUAUCAGACAUCAGCUCUGGAUUCACGGUGUAAAAAUCUGAUACUAACACGGCAAAUUUUGAACUGUAAUUUUUAAAAUGUAAUUUCUCAGCAUGAGAAAAUUAUUAAAUUGCUUGUAAUUUGUGACAAAAGUUAUAGAUAAAACUUAACAUUUCAAGCGAAAAUGUGCUGUGGAUGUGCAAGGUAUCGUUCCUAUCUUUUUUUAGUGUGGAAGCUGACAGGACUUGUGCGUACAAAAAUUCUCUAUGGAUCUUUGUGGCAAUCUCAGAAACGGCAUUAUAUUAAUUUGCUUGUAUCUGUAUGUCGAUAUAUGCAUAGUUU